rnacentral:rRNA from 1 species
GAUAAAUCAUUCAAGUUUCUGCCCUAUCAGCUUUGGAUGGUAGUGUAUUGGACUACCAUGCAGUCACGGGUAACGGAGAAUUAGGGUUCGAUUCCGGAGAGGGAGCCUGAGAAACGGCUACCACAUCUACGGAAGGCAGCAGGAGCGAAAAUUGCCCAAUCCCGACACGGGGAGGCAGUGACGAGAAAUAACAACUCUUGGUUAUUCUAAGAAGUGUAAUGAGGAUAAUUUAAAACCCUUACCGAAAGCAAUUGGAGGGCAAGUCUGGUGCCAGCAGCCGCGGUAAUUCCAGCUCCAAUAGCGUAUAUUAAAGUUGUUGCAGUUAAAAAGCUCGUAGUUGAAGUUCUGGCUGCUUGACCCUCGAGCUCUGUAGCCGAGGGCUCAGCAGUCAUCCGCUUGCAAAUAUAUGUUCGCCUUUAACCGGGCGGCUAUAUGAGUAAGCAUUUUUACCUUGAGAAAAACAGAGUGUUCCAGGCAGGUUUGUCCGGAAUGCAUUAGCAUGGAAUAAUAGAAUAUGACUGAAGUCGAUUUAUUGGUUUGAGGCUUUAGUAAUGAUUAAUAGGAACAGUCGGGGGCAUUGGUACUUGUCAGUCAGAGGUGAAAUUCUAGGAUUUGACAAAGACUAACAAAUGCGAAAGCAUUUGCCAAGGAUGUUUUCAUUAAUCAAGAACGAAAGUUAGGGGAUCAAAGACGAUCAGAUACCGUCCUAGUCUUAACUAUAAACUAUACCGACUCGGAUUCAGAUGAAUCAUAAAGUUCAUUUGGGACCGUAGGAGAAAUCAAAGUUUUUGGGUUCUGGGGGAAGUAUGGUCGCAAGGCUGAAACUUAAAGGAAUUGACGGUUUUGCACCACCAUGGAGUGGAGUCUGCGGCUUAAUUUGACCCAACACUGGGAAACUCAUCAGGGCAAGAAGAUUGUAGGAUCGACAGAUUGAGAGUUCUUUCUUGAUUGGUCUAGUGGUGGUGCAUGGCCGUUCUUAGUUGGUGGAGUGAUUUGUCUGGUUAAUUCCGUUAACGAACGAGACCUUAACCUGCUAACUAGUACACCGAUGACAAAUCGGUGAUACUUCUUAGAGGGGCUAUGUGAUGUAAUCACAUGGAAGUUUGAGGCAAUAACAGGUCUGUGAUGCCCUUAGAUGUCCUGAGCUGCACGCGUACUACAAUGGUGCUUUCAUCGAGCUUUUCCUGAUCCGAAAGGAUUUGGGUAAUCUUUUUAGUGAGCACCGUGCUUGGGAUAGAUCUUUGUAAUUAUGGAUCUUGAACUAGGAAUUCCUAGUAAGCACGUGUCAUCAGCACGU